GAUGAACGCUGACAGAAUGCUUAACACAUGCAAGUCUUUGGCGAAGCUGUGCUUGCACAGCCUAGCCAAGGCGGACGGGUGAGUAACGCGUAAGGAACUUGCCCUGCAGUCAGGGAUAACAGACGGAAACGACUGAUAAGACCUGGUAAAGUCAGGCGGACUCAUGUCCAGCCUGAUGAAAAGAGAUGCUGCAGGAGAGCCUUGCGUCCUAUUAGCUUGUUGGUGGGGUAACGGCCCACCAAGGCGAUGAUAGGUAGCCGGCCUGAGAGGGUGGACGGCCACAAGGGGACUGAGAUACGGCCCUUACUCCUACGGGAGGCAGCAGUGGGGAAUAUUGGACAAUGGGGGCAAUCCUGAUCCAGCAAUUCUGUGUGAACGAUGAAGGUUUUCGGAUUGUAAAGUGCUUUCAGCAGGGAAGAAAAAAAUGACGGUACCUGCAGAAGAAGCGACGGCUAAAUACGUG
rnacentral:rRNA from 1 species